UUCAGGAUGUCUGUGCAAAAAGAACUUCAUAAGAAUUCAAGUAAUCGAAUUUAAUUCUAUAAGAAUUCGCGUGUUUGAAUUCUUGUAGACUUCAGGAUGUCUGUUCAAAAAGAACUUCAUAAGAAUUUGUUUCUCAAGAUUAAAAUGAUCGAAAAAUAUAUGUUCUGUAAGACUUCAAAAGAAAUAUCGAUACAGAAUUCUUCAAGAAAUGUUUUAUCGUAGCCGUAAAGAAUUCUUUUCGAAUUGUUGUUUUCGCGAAGCGUUGUUAGAAUCUGCGCAUGUGCAGUGUGCCUGUUUGUCGUUACCAUGGCAACGGAUUGUGAAGCAGCACUAGGCGACGGUGCACGGGCAGUGACGGGCAGCGCUAAUUCCGUACUUCGAACGAUCGAGAUCAAGGCUCUGAUAGUUUUCACCAGUUCCAUUAGCUAAUCGGACCUCAACGUGUUACAACCUGCUACAUGGUUCUGUUGUUUCCAUCAGUUUAAAUCAGUUAAUCAUGUCAUGACUGAUUCACUGGCGAAAAUUUAUUCCUGGUCUGGGCAGCGUAAAACACUGAAGUUCAGUUCAACUGUAAUUUGUCAAUUGAUUAUCAAAACUAUUUCCAAGCAAACAGAUGCGACCAGAACGAGCAUCAAAGAAAUUAUUAAAUCGUGGUUGCAACAUGCAACGGACAGGAUGCGAUAACUAAUUGCGAUAAGUUUCUAUAACUAAAGUUUCUAUAAGUUUUACUAGUUUUUAUAAGUUGUACAGUUGUACACUAUAAGUAAAUUCAUAAUAAGUUUAUAUAUAUUAUAGUUCAUAUAUUAUAUAACUGUUUUUAUAAUAAGUUCAAUAAAUAAUAA